rnacentral:lncRNA from 1 species
ACCUAUAUAAUUUUAUGAUAAUUUUCUUACUAAUAUAAUUUUAUCUCUUCGCUAAAACUAGUGCAUAUAAAAUGGUUUUAUAUAUUUUUAUUGGUAUAUUAAUUAGAUUUUCAUAAAAAGUUUGUAGUAAAAUAUUAAUAUGUUUAUCUUGAGCCCAAAAAAUGCUAGACACGUACGUCACUUUGUAGGUGUAAAGCUAGUAGAUGAAAAGUUCUUUGGACAUAAAGAUUGGAACAUUGGGACUGUGCAUCAUGAAAGGAAGCUCGCAAAUCUUUUAGCUAAGUGAACUUUGCGCAUAAACCAGCUGGUCCAGCUCCCACAAUCACCACUACAGUCUCCAUAUCUACAUAUGAUAAAUUUUCUCUUUGGGUUGUUUGGAGAUGUUCAUUAAUUCUGUUGUUAUAUAGAGAUAUAAGGACAUGGUGAUAUGUGUCAGCAAAAACGAGGAAAUACAAAAUCUUAAAUUUUUUGACACUUGUAAGAAAAUGCAAAGCGGUUUUUGUUAGUGCUAACUGUUUUGGAACUAUGUACCUAAUUUCUGUAAAAAAAAGAGAGUUCAGUUGAAAAACAACAUAGCAGAAACAUUACGAAUUUAAGAGCAUAAAAUAUCAAAUAUAACCAUACAUUUCUUAAUCUGCGUGGCUUACAACUUAAAUGGUGAGUUGGCAGAGAGGAUGUAUGAUAAUAUAUUUCUGUUUUGACUAUGCUAUUUUAUUUUAACAUUUUUGACUAUGAUAUUAACUACUAUACUUGCUUACAUAUUAAUACUUGUUUUGUAUAUAUUUGAUAAGACUAGCCAAUACAGAAUCUGAAAACAUUUAAUAUUUUAAGAUUCUUUAUAUAAUUUUGAAAUACAAAUCAAGUAUGUAAGUGGAUAACUAUUAAAGUUCUAAAAAAUAAUUUUUUCCACAAUCACCACUACAGUCUCAAUAUCUAUAUAUCUCGUGUGUUUAGGUAUGAUAGAUUUUCUCUUUGGGUUGUUCGGAGAUGUUCAUCAAUUAUGUUAUUAUAUAGAGAUACGAGGACAUAGUGAUAUGUGUGAGCAAAAACGAGGAAAUAUGAAAUCUCCAAAAUUUUUGACACUUGUAAGAAAAUGCAAAGUGUUUUUUACUAGUGCUGACUUUUUUGGAACUAUGUACCUAAUUUUUGUAAAUAAAGGUGAGUUCAGUUGUAAAACAACCUAGCAUAAAAGUUACGAAUUUAAGAGCAUAAAGUGAUAAAUAUAACUAUAUGUUCCUUAAUCUGCGUGGCUUACAACUUAAAUGGAGAGUCGGCAGAGAGGAUGUAUGAUAAUAAAUUUCUGUUUUGACUAUGCUAUUUUAUUUUAACAUUUUUGACUAUGAUAUUAACUACUAUACUUGCUUAGAUAUUAAUACUUGUUUUAAAUAUAUUUGAUAAGACUAGCCAAUACAGAACCUGAAAACAUUUAUUAUUUUGAGAUUCUUUAUUUUAUUUUGAAAUACAAAUCAAGUAUGUAAGUGGAUGACUACUAAAUUUCUAAAAAAUAAAAUUUUAAAGAAAAUUGACCAAAGUUUUCUUAAAAUUUUACUGACACCCAUUAUUUUAUAUUUACAGUGAACUACUUAAAAAUAAAGGCAUAUGUUUAAAAUAGUUACAAAUUAACUUAACUAUCUAAAUUCGCAGAAAAAGACAAUAUUAGUGUCAUAUUUAUUGUAAAACUACUACAAUCAUCUUUAAAAUGCGAUUACAUACAUGGUUUUUACUUGAAACCAUCGAAAAAGUUAGUUGCUUUAAUGUUACAUAAAAGAAACAAACAAGUGUGGGAGUUAGGUCGCACGAGAAAAGAAAUGAAAAUGGAUGCAUUGCUAGACAUUUUAUGACUUUUUACUAAUAUUUUCUUUUGUUUUGUCCAUAUUUUAGCAAAUAUUUUCUUUUUACAUUUUUAUAUUAGUUUAUCACUUAUAACUUGACAUGUAAAUUGUAUAUAUUUCAGUUAACAUAUAUAAAUGAUGAAGAUGUUUGCAAUCACCUAUAUAAUUUUAUGAUAAUUUUCUAACUAAUAUAAUUUUAUCUCUUCGGUAAAACUAGUGCAUAUAAAAUGGUUUUAUAUAGUUUUAUUGGUAUUCAAAUUAGAUUUUCAUAAAAAGUUUGUAGUAAAAUAUUUAUAUGUUUAUCUUGAACACGUAAAAUGCUAGACACGUACAUUACUUUGUAGGUGUAAAGCUAGUUGAUGAAAAGUUAUUUGGGCAUGAAGAUUGGAACAUUGGGACCGUGCAUCAUGAAAGGAAGCUCGCAAGUGAUGCAUAGAUGUCUUCUUUCUCGAGGAUCACGUUUGGGAUUGAGUGUAGGUUUAAACAAACAGAUGUUGCUAAACCAGUUGGUCUAGCUCCCACAAUCACCACAACAGUCUCAAUAUCUAUAUAUCUCAUGUGUUUAGGUUUGGUAGAUUUUCUCUUUGGGUUGUUCGGAGAUGUUCAUUAAUCUGUUUUUAUAUAGAGAUACAAGUACAUGAUGAUAUGUGUGAGCAAAAACGAGGAAAUACGGAAUCUUAAAACUGUUGACACUUGUAAAAAAAUGCAAAGUGGUUUUUGUUAGUGCUGACUUUUUUGGAACUAUGUACCUAAUUUCUGUAAAUAAAGGAUAGUUCAGGUUAAAAACAGCCUAGCAUAAACGUUACGAAUUUAAGAGAAUAAGGUAACAAAUAUAAACAUAUGUUCCUAAAUGUGCGUGGCUUACAACUUAAAUUGUGAGUUAGCAGAGAUGAUGUUUGAUAAUAUAUUUCUGUUUUGACUAUGCUAUUUUAUUUUAACAUUUUUGACUAUGAUAUUAACGACUAUACUUGCUUAGAUAUUAAUACUUAUUUUGUAUAUAUUUGAUAAGACUAGCCAAUACAGAAGCUGAAAACAUUUAUUAUUUUGAGAUUCUUUAUUUAAUUUUGAAAUACAAAUCAAGUAUGUAAGUGGAUGACUUUUACAGUUCUAAAACAUAAUUUUUUAAACAAAAUUGACCAAAUUUUCUUAAAAUUUUAGUGACACCCAUCAUUUUAUAUUUACAGUGAACUACUUAAAAAUAAAGGAAUAUGUUUACAAUUGUUACAAAUUAACUUGACUAUCUAAAUUCGCUGUAAAAGACAAUAUUAGUGUCAUAUUUAUUGUAAAACUACUACAGGCAUCAUUAAAAUGCGAUUACAUACAUGGUUUUUAUUUGAAACCAUCGAAAAAGUUAGUUGCUUUAAUCUUAAAUAAAAGAAACAAACAACUGUGCGAGUUAGGUCGCACGAGAAGAGAAAUAAAAAUGGAUGCAUUGCAAGACAUUGGAUGACUUUUUACUAAUAUUUUCAUUUGUUUUGUCUAUAUUUUAGCAAAUCUUUUCUUUUUACAUUUUUAUAUUAGUUUAUCACUUAUAACUUGACAUGUAAACUGUAUAUAUUUCAGUUAACAUAUAUAAAUGAUGAAGAUGUUCGCAAUCACCUAUAUAAUUUUAUGAUAAUUUUCUUACUAAUAUAAUUUUAUCUCUUCGCUAAAACUAGUGCAUAUAAAAUGGUUUUAUAUAUUUUUAUUGGUAUAUUAAUUAGAUUUUCCUAAAAAGUUUGUAGUAAAAUAUUAAUAUGUUUAUCUUGAGCCCGUAAAAUACUAGACACGUACGUCACGUUGUAGGUGUAACACUAGUUCAUGAAAAGUUCUUUGGACAUGAAGAUUGGAACUUUGGUACCGUGCAUCGUGAAUGGAAGCUCACAAGUGUAAAAUAGAUGUCUUCUUUCUCGAGGAUCACAUUUGGGAUUGAGUGUAGGUUUAAACAAACAGAUGUUGCUAAACCAGCUCGUCUAGCUCCCACAAUCACCACUACAGUCUCAAUGUCUAUAUAUCUCGUGUGUUUAGGUAUGAUAGAUUUUUUCUUUGGGUUGUUCGGAGAUGUUCAUCAAUUAUGUUGUUAUAUAGAGAUACGAGGACAUAGUGAUAUGUGUGAGCAAAAAAGAGGAAAUACGAAAUCUUAAAUUUUUUGACAAUUGUAAGAAAAUGCAAAGUAUUUUUUACUAGUGCUGACUGUUUUGGAACUAAGUACCUAAUUUCUGUAAAUAAAGAAGAGUUCAGGUUAAAAACAGCCUAGCAUAAACGUUACGAAUUUAAGAGCAUAAGGUAACAAAUAUAAACAUAUGUUCCUAAAUGUGCGUGGCUUACAACUUAAAUUGUGAGUUGGCAGAGAUGAUGUAUGAUAAUAUAUUUCUGUUUUGACUAUGCUAUUUUAUUUUAACAUUUUUGACUAUGAUAUUAACGACUAUACUUGCUUAGAUAUUAAUACUUGUUUUGUAUAUAUUUGAUAAGACUAGCCAAUACAGAAUCUGAAAACAUUUAUUAUUUUGAGAUUCUUUAUUUAAUUUUGAAAUACAAAUCAAGUAUGUAAGUGGAUGACUUCUAAACUUCUAAAACAUAAUUGUUAAACAAAAUUGACCAAAUUUUCUUAAAAUUUUACUGACACCCAUUAUUUUAUAUUUACAGUGACCUACUUAAAAAUAAAGGCAUAUGUUUACAAUAGUUACAAAUUAACUUGACAAUCUAAAUUCGCAGUAAAAGACAAUAUUAGUGUCAUAUUUAUUGUAAAACUACUACAGACAUCUUUAAAAUGCGAUUACAUACAUGGUUUUUACUUGAAACCAUCAAAAAAGUUAGUUGCUUUAAUGUUAACUAAAAGAAAAAAAACAACUGUGCGAGUUAGGUCGCACGAGAAGAGAAAUGAAAAUGGAUGCAUUGCUAGACAUUGGAUGACUUUUUACUAAUAUUUUCAUUUGUUUUGUCUAUAUUUUAGCAAAUAUUUUCUUUUUACAUUAUUAUAUUUGUUUAUCACUUAUAACUUGACAUGUAAACGGUAUAUAUUUCAGUUAACAUAUAUAAAUGAUGAAGAUGUUCGCAAUCACCUAUAUAAUUCUAUGAUAAUUUUCUUACUAAUAUAAUUUUAUCUCUUUGCUAAAACUAGUGCAUAUAAAAUGGUUUUAUAUAUUUUUAUUGGUAUAUUAAUUAGAUUUUCCUAAGAAGUUUGUAGUAAAAUAUUAAUAUGUUUAUCUUGAGCCCGUAAAAUACUAGACAUGUACGUCACGUUGUAGGUGUAACACUAGUUCAUGAAAAGUUCUUUGGACAUGAAGAUUGGAACUUUGGUACCGUGCAUCAUGAAUGGAAGCUCACAAGUGUAAAAUAGAUGUCUUCUUUCUCGAGGAUCACGUUUGGGAUUGAGUGUAGGUUUAGACAAACAGAUGUUGCUAAACCAGCUCGUCUAGCUCCCACAAUCACCACUACAGUCUCAAUGUCUAUAUAUCUCGUGUGUUUAGGUAUGAUA